rnacentral:rRNA from 1 species
GACGAACGCUGGCGGCGUGCUUAACACAUGCAAGUCGAACGGAAAGGCCCCUUUGGGGGUACUCGAGUGGCGAACGGGUGAGUAACACGUGAGUAACCUGCCCUUGACUUCGGGAUAACUUCAGGAAACUGGGGCUAAUACCGGAUAGGAAUCCUUGCUGCAUGGUGGGGGUUGGAAAGCUUCGGCGGUUUUGGAUGGACUCGCGGCUUAUCAGCUUGUUGGUGGGGUAGUGGCUUACCAAGGCUUUGACGGGUAGCCGGCCUGAGAGGGCGACCGGCCACAUUGGGACUGAGAGACGGCCCAGACUCCUACGGGAGGCAGCAGUGGGGAAUAUUGCACAAUGGGCGGAAGCCUGAUGCAGCAACGCCGCGUGCGGGAUGACGGCCUUCGGGUUGUAAACCGCGUUCAGCAGGGGCGAAGCUUGUGGUGACGGUACCUGCAGAAGAAGCACCGGCUAACUACGUG